CCUACGGGUGGCAGCAGUGAGGAAUAUUGGUCAAUGGACGAGAGUCUGAACCAGCCAAGUAGCGUGAAGGAUGACUGCUCUCUGGGUUGUAAACUUCUUUUAUAUGGGAGUAAAAUGUUCCACGUGUGGGAUUUGGUAUGUACCAUAUCAAUCAAGCUGCGCUAACUCCGUGCCAGCAGCCGCGGUAAUACGGAGGAACCGAGCGUUAUCCGGAUUUAUUGGGCUUAAAGGGAGCGUAGGUGGAUUGUUAAGUCAGAUGUGAAAGUUUGCGGCUCAACCGUAAAAUUGAAGUUGAAACUGGCAGUCUUGAGUACAGUAGAGGUGGGCGGAAUUCGUGGUGUAGCGGUGAAAU
rnacentral:rRNA from 1 species